rnacentral:rRNA from 1 species
UACAGAGGGUGCAAGCGUUGUUCGGAAUCAUUGGGCGUAAAGGGCGUGUAGGCGGUCUGUUAAGUCAUGUGUGAAAUCCCUCGGCUCAACCGGGGAACGACGCAUGAAACUGACAAGCUAGAGUACCAAAGAGGGGGGUGGAGUUCCCGGUGUAGCGGUGAAAUGCGUAGAUAUCAGGAAGAACACCCGUGGCGAAGGCGGCUCUCUGGUACGUGACUGACGCUGAGACGCGAAAGCGUGGGGAGCGAACAGG